GGAGUUUGAUCCUGGCUCAGCGCGAACGCUGGCGGCAUGGCUAAAACAUGCAAGUCGAACGAGAAAGCAUCUUCGGAUGCGAGUACAGUGGCGAAAGGGCGAGUAAUGCGUUCCUAACGUGCCCCGAGGUCAGGGAUAGCACUGGGAAACUGGUGGUAAUACCUGAUGACCCCGAUUGAUCGCAUGGUUAGUCGGGCAAAGGUUUACUGCCUCGGGAUCGGGGAACGUCCUAUCAGCUUGUUGGUGAGGUAACGGCUCACCAAGGCGCAGACGGGUAGCCGGUGUGAGAGCACGACCGGCCGCAUCGGGACUGAGACACUGCCCGGACUCCUACGGGAGGCUGCAGUAACGAAUAUUCCGCAAUGCGCGAAAGCGUGACGGAGCAAUGCCGCGUGUAGGAUGAAGCCCCUCGGGGUGUAAACUACUGUCAGGGACCAGCAACACAAUGAGCGGUCCCAGAGGAAGGGCCGGCUAACUUCGUGCCAGCAGCCGCGGUAAUACGAAGGGCCCGAGCGUUGCGCGGAAUCAUUGGGCUUAAAGGGUGCGUAGGCGGACUUGUAAGUGCUUUGUGAAAGCCCCUGGCUCAACCGGGGAAUUGCUUAGUAGACUGCAAGUCUUGAGGUCGGCAGAGGUUGUCGGAACCAUAGGUGUAGCGGUGAAAUGCGUAGAUAUCUAUGGGAACGCCGAAGGAGAAAUCAGACAACUGGGCCGAUUCUGACGCUGAGGCACGAAAGCGUGGGUAGCGAAGAGGAUUAGAUACCCUCGUAGUCCACGCCCUAAACGAUGUGCACUAGGUCUUGGAGGUUCUGACACCUGCAGGGCCGACGUAAAAACAUUAAGUGCACCGCCUGGGGAGUACGGUCGCAAGAUUAAAACUCAAAGGAAUUGACGGGGGCUCACACAAGCGGUGGAGCAUGUGGCUUAAUUCGAGCAACGCGAAGAACCUUAUCCUGGGUUUGACAUGUAUGGAUUAGCUUCCUGAAAGGGAAGUGACGCGUUUACGUGGAACAUACACAGGUGCUGCAUGGCUGUCGUCAGCUCGUGCCGUGAGGUGUCGGGUUAAGUCCCUCAACGAGCGAAACCCCUAUCCCUAGUUGCCAGCGAGUCAUGUCGGGGACUCUAGGGAGACUGCCGGUGUCAAACCGGAGGAAGGUGGGGAUGACGUCAAGUCCUCAUGGCCUUUAUGCCCAGGGCUGCACACGUGCUACAAUGGCGUGAACAGAGCGAAGCAAUACCGCAAGGUGGAGCAAAUCGCAUAAAACACGCCCCAGUUCGGAUUGUGGUCUGCAACUCGACCACAUGAAGGUGGAAUCGCUAGUAAUCGCGUAUCAGCUACGACGCGGUGAAUAAGUUCCUGAGCCUUGUACACACCGCCCGUCACGUCAUGGAAGCCGGGAGCACCCGAAGUGGCCUCGUUUCAGAGGUCCCUACGGUGAGCUCGGUGACUGGGACGAAGUCGUAACAAGGUA
rnacentral:rRNA from 1 species